rnacentral:rRNA from 1 species
AGAGUUUGAUCCUGGCUCAGGACGAACGCUGGCGGCGUGCUUAACACAUGCAAGUCGAACGAUGAAGCCAGCUUGCUGGUGGAUUAGUGGCGAACGGGUGAGUAACACGUGGGCAACCUGCCCUCAGCUCUGGGAUAACUCCAAGAAAUUGGUGCUAAUACCGGAUAUUCUUCUUUCACCGCAUGGUGGUUGGAGGAAAGUUUUUCGGCUGGGGAUGGGCCCGCGGCCUAUCAGCUUGUUGGUGGGGUGAUGGCCUACCAAGGCGACGACGGGUAGCCGGCCUGAGAGGGUGACCGGCCACACUGGGACUGAGACACGGCCCAGACUCCUACGGGAGGCAGCAGUGGGGAAUAUUGCGCAAUGGGCGAAAGCCUGACGCAGCGACGCCGCGUGAGGGAUGACGGCCUUCGGGUUGUAAACCUCUUUCAGCAGGGACGAAGCGAAAGUGACGGUACCUGCAGAAGAAGCACCGGCCAACUACGUG